rnacentral:tRNA from 1 species
AGGGGCGUAGUGAAACGGUAUCACGAGAGUCUCCAAAACUCUAAGUAGAGGUCCGACUCCUCUCGCCCCUG